UUUGGGCCUUAUCGAAGCUGGGAAAUUUCUUUUCCGAAAUUAUUUCAGUCAAAAAUGGGCCAAGAUCAAUUUUCCUUCUAUAAAGGUCACUGACUGAAUUUCGUAUUCUUUCUGUACUACCCAAGGAGGAUAUAAAA